rnacentral:misc_RNA from 1 species
GAUGAAGAACGUAGCGAAAUGCGAUAAGUAAUGUGAAUUGCAGAAUUCAGUGAAUCAUCGAAUCUUUGAACGCAUAUUGCGCUCUCUGGUAUUCCGGAGAGCAUGCUUGUUUGAGUAUCAGUAAACACCUCAACUUCCAUAUCUUUUUUGAAAUGGGAGUUGGACUUGAGUGAUCCCAACGCUUUUCCUCACCGAAAAGUGGCGGGUUACUUGAAAUGCAGGUGCAGCUGGACUUUUCUCUGAGCUAUAAGCAUAUCUAUUUAGUCUGCCUAAAAAACAGAUUAUUACCUUUGCUGCAGCUAACAUAAAGGAGAUUAGUUCUUGUGCUGACUGAUGCAGGAUUCACAAAGACAGGCUUCGGCCGACUUUGUAAACUCGAUCUCAAAUCAAGUAAGACUACCCGCUGAACUUAAGCAUAUCAAAAGCGGAGGA